AACGAACGCUGGCGGCAGGCCUAACACAUGCAAGUCGAGCGAGGUAGCAAUACCUAGCGGCGGACGGGUGAGUAACGCGUGGGAACGUACCCUUUGCUACGGAAUAGCCUCGGGAAACUGGGAGUAAUACCGUAUGUGCCCUUCGGGGAAAGAUUAUCGGCAAAGGAUCGGCCCGCGUUGGAUUAGGUAGUUGGUGGGGUAAUGGCCUACCAAGCCUACGAUCCAUAGCUGGUUUGAGAGGAUGAUCAGCCACACUGGGACUGAGACACGGCCCAGACUCCUACGGGAGGCAGCAGUGGGGAAUCUUAGACAAUGGGCGCAAGCCUGAUCUAGCCAUGCCGCGUGAGUGACGAAGGCCUUAGGGUUGUAAAGCUCUUUCAGCUGGGAAGAUAAUGACGGUACCAGCAGAAGAAGCCCCGGCUAACUCCAUG
rnacentral:rRNA from 1 species